GACGAACGCUGGCGGCGUGCUUAACACAUGCAAGUCGAACGAAGUGGCGAACGGGUGAGUAACGCGUAAUAAACCUGCUCUUCAGAGGGGUACAACAGUUGGAAACGACUGCUAAUACCGCAUACUGAAGGUGGGGAUUGCGUCUGAUUAGCUCGUGGGCGGGGUAACGGCCAACCAAGGCGAUGAUCAGUAGCCGGUCUGAGAGGAUGAACGGCCACAUUGGGACUGAGACACGGCCCAGACUCCUACGGGAGGCAGCAGUGGGGAAUCUGCCGCAAUGGACGAAAGUCUGACGGAGCAACGCCGCGUGAGUGAUGACGGCCUUCGGGUUGUAAAGCUCUGUUAAUCGGGACGCGGUACCGGAAUAGAAAGCCACGGCUAACUACGUGCCAGCCGCCGCGGUAAUAC
rnacentral:rRNA from 1 species